CUUUCAUUUCUGAUUUGUAUGUACAAGGUUAUAAUAAAGUGCUAAGCACGCCUCAUCAACUUCCUACAUCACCCCCAAGCAAUUCUGUUGCUGCCCAGCUGCCCUUCCCCUUUACCGACGGAGCGAACGCCUUGAGCAGGCGUCUUGUUAUUAUUAUAAUGGUUUUUUAUCACAUUUUUGCACCAUGACGGUGAAAAACAUUGUAAUGUUUUUAAGUUAAAAUCUUAAUUAG